rnacentral:rRNA from 1 species
CCUACGGGAGGCUGCAGUGGGGAAUAUUGGACAAUGGGGGCAACCCUGAUCCAGCCAUGCCGCGUGUGUGAAGAAGGCCCUCGGGUUGUAAAGCACUUUCAGUGAGGAAGAACGCCUGGUGGUUAAUACCCAUCAGGAAAGACAUCACUCACAGAAGAAGCACCGGCUAACUCCGUGCCAGCAGCCGCGGUAAUACGGAGGGUGCGAGCGUUAAUCGGAAUUACUGGGCGUAAAGCGCGCGUAGGUGGCUUGAUAAGCCGGUUGUGAAAGCCCCGGGCUCAACCUGGGAACGGCAUCCGGAACUGUCAAGCUAGAGUGCAGGAGAGGAAGGUAGAAUUCCCGGUGUAGCGGUGAAAUGCGUAGAGAUCGGGAGGAAUACCAGUGGCGAAGGCGGCCUUCUGGACUGACACUGACACUGAGGUGCGAACGCGUGGGUAGCAAACAGGAUUAGAUACCCGAGUAGUC